GGCUGAGAGGUUAAAGCGUCUGCCUGCAAUGCGGGAGACCCAGGUUCGAUCCCUGA
rnacentral:tRNA from 1 species